GAUGAACGCUAGCUACAGGCUUAACACAUGCAAGUCGAGGGGAAACGGCAUUUAGUGCUUGCACUGAAUGGACGUCGACCGGCGCACGGGUGAGUAACGCGUAUCCAACCUUCCCAUUACUGUGGGAUAACCUGCCGAAAGGCAGACUAAUACCGCAUAGUCUUCGAUGACGGCAUCAGAUUUGAAGUAAAGAUUUAUCGGUAAUGGAUGGGGAUGCGUCUGAUUAGCUUGUUGGCGGGGUAACGGCCCACCAAGGCAACGAUCAGUAGGGGUUCUGAGAGGAAGGUCCCCCACAUUGGAACUGAGACACGGUCCAAACUCCUACGGGAGGCAGCAGUGAGGAAUAUUGGUCAAUGGACGAGAGUCUGAACCAGCCAAGUAGCGUGCAGGAUGACGGCCCUAUGGGUUGUAAACUGCUUUUGUAUGGGGAUAAAGUCAAUCACGUGUGGUUGUUUGCAGGUACCAUACGAAUAAGGACCGGCUAAUUCCGUGCCAGCAGCCGCGGUAAUACGGAAGGUCCGGGCGUUAUCCGGAUUUAUUGGGUUUAAAGGGAGCGUAGGCCGGAGAUUAAGUGUGUUGUGAAAUGUAGACGCUCAACGUCUGACUUGCAGCGCGUACUGGUUUCCUUGAGUACGCGCAACGUUGGCGGAAUUCGUCGUGUAGCGGUGAAAUGCUUAGAUAUGACGAAGAACUCCGAUUGCGAAGGCAGCUGACGGGAGCGCAACUGACGCUAAAGCUCGAAGGUGCGGGUAUCGAACAGG
rnacentral:rRNA from 1 species